rnacentral:rRNA from 1 species
AACGCACCUUGCGCUCCUUGGUAUUCCGAGGAGCAUGCCUGUUUGAGUGUCAUGGUAUUCUCAACCCUCCUGUGAUUUCUUUUUAAAGAUUGCAGCUGGGCUUGGACUUGGAGGUUUAUUGCUGGCAUCCUUUGUUGGAUGUGGGCUCCUCUGAAAAGCAUUAGCUGGAAUAUUGCCGAGCAUGAUUCAAUGUGAUAAUUGUCUACGUUGCUUCAACUUGGUGUUAAUUCUGUUCUAGCUUCUAAACGUCCUCUGGACAAUAUCUGAACAUCUGACCUCAAAUCAGGUAGGACUACCCGCUGAACUUAA